UGGGGAAUAUUGGACAAUGGGGGGAACCCUGAUCCAGCCAUGCCGCGUGUGUGAAGAAGGCCUUAUGGUUGUAAAGCACUUUAAGCGAGGAGGAGGCUACUUUAGUUAAUACCUAGAGAUAGUGGACGUUACUCGCAGAAUAAGCACCGGCUAACUCCGUGCCAGCAGCCGCGGUAAUACAGAGGGUGCAAGCGUUAAUCGGAUUUACUGGGCGUAAAGCGCGCGUAGGCGGCUAAUUAAGUCAAAUGUGAAAUCCCCGAGCUUAACUUGGGAAUUGCAUUCGAUACUGGUUAGCUAGAGUGUGGGAGAGGAUGGUAGAAUUCCAGGUGUAGCGGUGAAAUGCGUAGAGAUCUGGAGGAAUACCGAUGGCGAAGGCAGCCAUCUGGCCUAACACUGACGCUGAGGUGCGAAUGCAUGGGGAGCAAACAGG
rnacentral:rRNA from 1 species